UGAACGAUCUGGGCUGUUGCACGAUUGCUGAUUUGAAGCUUGCCAAGGAAGAGGAACUCUCUUUCCUGAAGCCAUUACAGAGACGAAAAGUAAUACUUGCUGCCACAGAAAAAGCCGAGACUGAAAGAAAGCAUGAAGAGGACACAUCAGACUGACCCUUUCAAUAGAAAUUGGUGAGAACCUUGGUAUUUGAUGCAAGUGGUCAUCUGUUGAGUACGUUGGACAUCUAUACUGAAAGUGUCUUUGGCUUGCAUCAUUCCAAGUCCCUGAUGACUGUCCAUCCGUUUCUUCAAUUGCGAGCGACAGUGUUUCUUUAGACGACACAGUAAUCGUGCAAGAGACGUCAGAGAGUGAUGCUGGCAGUAUAGCCAGUAGCCCCUCAUUAUCAGCAGGAUCGAAAUUACGUGUUCCUUGGGACAAACUUCCGAGAAAGGUCAUGAAACUAUGCAAGCAGGGCAAACGGCCCAAACCAGCAGAACUACGUGAAAUUGUUCGAAUUGUCGGUGAUGAUUUAGCUGAUCAGGGGAAGACU